rnacentral:rRNA from 1 species
UACGUAGGGUGCGAGCGUUAAUCGGAAUUACUGGGCGUAAAGCGUGCGCAGGCGGUUCGUUGUGUCGGCGGUGAAAUCCCCGGGCUCAACCUGGGAAUGGCCGUUGAAACUGGCGAACUGGAGUGUGGCAGAGGGGGGGGUGGAAUUCCGCGUGUAGCAGUGAAAUGCGUAGAGAUGCGGAGGAACACCGAUGGCGAAGGCAGCCCCCUGGGCUGACACUGACGCUCAGGCACGAAAGCGUGGGGAGCAAACAGG